GGCUGCGCGGGAGGAAAGUCCGGGCAACACGGGCCACCAUACUUCCUAACGGGAAGGACGCAGGGAGGCAAGUGCCCUGCGGACAGCAAGUGCCACAGAAAGAGAAACCGCCGGAGGGCGACUUCCGGCAAGGGUGCAAGCGCGAGGCAAGAGCUCACGACAGGCUGCAGCGAUGCGGCCCGAUGGCAAACCUUAUGGGUUGAAAGACCAAAUAUACCGACAGUCAAGGGCUGGCCCGCCCGAUACCUAUGGUAAUGUCGGAGGGUAGGUUGAUAGAGGCCGGCGGCGACGCCGGCAGUAGAUUGAUGAUAGGGACCGUCGCCCCCGCGGCGGGACAGAACCCGGCUUAUGACGUU
rnacentral:RNase_P_RNA from 1 species